UACGGCCGCAUCACAUUGAAACACAGGUUCCCCGACCGAUCACCGAAGUUAAGCAACAUCGUGUUUGGUCUGUACCUAGGUGGGUGACCGUUUGGGAAUAUC